UUUCGAAUCACGUCGUGGUAGAUAUAAUACUUUUAAUAAAGUGUGUGUGAAUAUAUUAUAUUCUUUCAACAUUGCGUGCUGCUAGUAUUAAUUUGUUGCAGUUAAUUUUUAACAAUAUACUUUUGUGUGUGUGCAGUUAACAUACUGUUAAUAUAAGGACCCUUUAUACUGCGCAUGAUGCAACAUGUCUUUACAGAAGAAAUAUUUUGAAAAAACGUUCGCUUCUCAUAUACAAAUAACACAAUUUGAAAGGAGCGUUGCGUC